rnacentral:rRNA from 1 species
CCUACGGGAGGCUGCAGUGGGGAAUAUUGCACAAUGGGGGAACCCCUGAUGCAGCGACGCCGCGUGAGUGAAGAAGUACUUCGUUAUGUAAAGCUCUAUCAGCAGGGAAGAAAAUGACGGUACCUGAGUAAGAAGCCCCGGCUAACUACGUGCCAGCAGACGCGGUAAGACGUAGGGGGCAAGCGUGAUCCGGAUUUACUGGGUGUAAAGGGAGCGUAGACGGCAGUGCAAGUCUGGAGUGAAAGGCGGGGGCUCAACCCCCGGACUGCUCUGGAAACUGGACGGCUGGAGUGCAGGAGAGGUAUGUGGAAUUCCUAGUGUAGCGGUGAAAUGCGUAGAUAUUAGGAGGAACACCAGUGGCGAAGGCGGCUUACUGGACUGUAACUGACGUUGAGGCUCGAAAGCGUGGGGAGCAAACAGGAUUAGAUACCCGGGUAGUC